rnacentral:ncRNA from 22 species
CUGUCCGAGGGGCGCUGCAGCAGGUUUACCCUGUCAGGCUCGGAUGGGGCGUUGUUUGUCAGGUUGAUCACAGCCGGCAAGCCUUAAACGCACAACGGCGCCCAUUCGCA